rnacentral:rRNA from 1 species
UACAGAGGUCUCAAGCGUUGUUCGGAUUCAUUGGGCGUAAAGGGCGCGUAGGCGGCGGGGUAAGUCGGGUGUGAAAUCUCAGAGCUCAACUCUGAAACUGCACUCGAUAACUGCUCUGCUUGAGGACUGGAGAGGAGACUGGAAUUCACGGUGUAGCAGUGAAAUACGUAAGAUAUCGUGAGGAAGACCAGUGGCGAAGGCGGGUCUCUGGACAGUUCCUGACGCUGAGGCGCGAAGGCCAGGGGAGCAAACGGG